AAAGCAAAGCCACCGCCCAAGUUAACUCUCCUGAAUAGGCUAAUCGAUUCCAAUUUUUAUUUUCUAAAACAAAUCAACUCUAAUUUCUAGAUUUACUUUUUAAUUUUUCAAUUAUACUGACCUCCUAUCCAUCCUGCUGUCAGUAAAGAUCCAUCCUAGAAGGAACCACAGCUGUAACUAGUAUACCACACUCCAUUUCUAGGAAUCUUCCUUUGCCAUUCACAAUCCUAUCCCAACGUGGAAAGAUUUAUCAAUUUGCAGGAAGCAACCAGGAAGGAGUUAGUGAGCUUCGCUGUGCUUUCUUUCAACCCCUCUUUCCCCUCUCCUUAGCCUAUAUUAACGAGAGCAUGGGCCUAUGUCUCAGUGUUCAAUUAGAAGAAUCUGAGAAAAGUUUUAGAUUUUAUCAGUUCAAAGUUUGUAGAGAGUUUGUAUAGAGCUUUUAACUUAAAAUUUCUGUGAAAUAUGUAAUUUUUCCACGGUUCAUAUUAGUGUUGAGGGUCUGUGUGAGAGUUUUUCUUUUAUUGAUGAUGGAUGUUAGCUGUGUGGGAGUUUUUCUUUUAUUGAUGGCAGAUUAAGAGUAUGAUCCAUUAUUCUUGAUGAUCAGUCAAGAAAUCUGAUUCAUAUUUGAUAAUGGAUCAUAAGGUAUGAAUCACGAUUUCUGAUGAUAGAUCGAAAGAUCUGAAUCAAAAUAUUGAUAAUUUUUUUUUUCACACGGUUAGCAUCCAGACAAAUUUCAAUUUACAUCUAAGAAUGAGUUUCAAUUACAAGGCUCUUUCGAUCAUGAUCCAAAGAAGAAAACAAAUCACACACAGUUAGCACCCAGAAGUAUUCUUUAUCACUAAAAAAUCUCUAUUUUAUGGGUGAGCUUCAAUUGAAGCUCUCUGGGUGAGAGACGAUGCAAAGCUGAAAUCUCUAAUCCCAACUAAUUAGCAACUUUGUGACAGAGUUGCAACUGCCCAAGCUCAGUAAAAACCCUUUUUUUUUUAAUCAGUUUUUCAACACUCCUAACAAGGGUGAAGAGCUGAUGGGUAGGAAUAUUAGCCCCUUUAAACCCUUUAUUAAAUAUAGAUAUCCUUUACAGAUCAUAUACCUAGAGGAUGAGAUCUAUGAAACCAUGGAUCUCCUUCCUGCCCAUAUAUUGUUAGAUUCCAGUAAGCUUAAGCAAGAACUGCAAGAUUUUUACCAGGAUUUACAGCCUGAAGAUAUGAGAAGCAUGCUGAAAGAUUCUAUGCUGAACAGCAAUCCUAAGUUGCUUCAGCAAAUUCGUUUCAACCAUUUGGCCGAGAAAUCUGGUAUGGAAGAGGGUUUUACUUAUUCUGUGCAUGAAAUUGCUGCUCUCAAAUCUCAAUUUUUUGAGUGGUUGGAGAAAUCGAUGGGCGAUUUGAAGAGGCCUUUGUUCAAGAAGGAGGUGCCAAUCGUUGGCGUGCGGUUUAUGGGAGGCGUUGGAAAAACAACUUUAGCAUUGGCUUUAUGGAGUGAUGUUCAAAUUAAAGGUUAUUUUCAGAACCUCCUUUUCAUUACUGUUUCAGAGUCUCCAAAUGGGAAAGGACUUCUAGAGACCAUGUGGGAUGGCAUUGUUGGAAGGAAGAGGUCUGAGUUUCAGAAUUUGGAAGAUGCACGUAUGCAACUGCAAAUUCAGCUUAUGAGGAAAUCUAAAUCAACUCCGCUGAUAUUAGAUAAUGUUGGGUCCAGAGCAAAUUUGGAGAAAUUACUAUUUCAUGUGACAGGAUAUAAAAAUCUUUUCACAACCAGAGACACAUCCAUUAUCCCCAGAAACCACUCUGCUCAAUACUAUCAAUUGCCUUUGCUGGUCCACGCAGAUGCUCUGUCUCUUUUCAUCUUCUGGGCUGCCGUACAGAUGCCAAUUCCAAGUAAUGGAUAUGCAAAUCCACUAAACAAGGUUCAAGCAGAAUAUUUUGCCAGGGAAAUGGGAUUUGCUGAAGGACAGGCCAUUUGAUGCUCAAGUAUCUUUAUUCACACAGGUGGGUUAAAAGAUGACAAAGAUGGAUUGCUACCAAACAACAGUUUUUUUCUGAAAUGCUAGCCAUAUACUUGACUAGAAAAGUAAUCAAUUAGGAGAUUCUAUCUAGUGCUAAAUCUACCUCUAUUUAACAUUCCCUCAAUUAUCAAAUUUUCUGUCUUGCAUGCUUGCGUUUGAAAUCUAACAUAACUUGUGGCAUCCUACCUUCAAUAUGAUGAGAACUCAAUGUAGACACCACCAAAAAAAUAAAAAAAUAAAAAUAAAAAUAAAAAAUAAAAAAUAAAUUAAAAAUUCACUGGCUGAUGCAGAAUGUUCUGAUUGGAUUCUAUUUCUGGAUUAUCCAUACAGGUCCCGUGGACAAAAGCAAGUGGUACUAGAAUAAUUUUUCAAAGAGGACCACAAUAAAAGAUCUAGAUGUCUCAUCUCCACCCCCUCAACUAGGGACUGUGCAUGGACUGAUUGCACCACAAGUUCAAACACAGAGAAAAAGGACUAUAGAACAUAGAGGAGCUAUUUUUGGAUGGUCUUUCUGUACGUCUGAUUUUGGCAUAUAGGGGAUCUUAUCUUUAUUUUGGUGGGGCUAUGGAGCGAUGAGUUCUGAUAUUGUUUAAAGGAAACAAUUGGCACGUUGUUUGUUAUUUGAAAAAUUCAAAACAUCAAAUCACGGUCUCUAUGAGGACUGGUGAUUGAACAAGUGACUGUUGAAGCCCACUUUGGGGCCAAACAAAAUUUUAAAAUGGGGGUAAAAAUUUUGAUUACAGAGAGCUCCUCAUUGGUGAUUGUAAUCCACUUUGGGGCAGACAAAAUUAUAAAAAAUAGUUAAAUUCUACAAAGCA